UUAACAAAUCAUGCCAAAAUCACAUACAAACCAUAUCAAACUCACAAAUUCAUGAUUUUGAACUAUGAUUUAGACAGUAUCCAUUAAAUGGAUCAUACUGAAAUCAUAGAUGACAAAUAAGGAAGUAUGAUCCUGAUGUGGUUUGUUUCUGGGGAAUGAGUCUGGUAUGAUUUUCUUGCGAUUCUGACAUGUGCCAUUAACUUAGAAAAAAAGGAACAUGAGUUUGAAAUGAUUCGUUAACUUUAACUGCUUAAAGUUUGUGAUUUUGAUAUGGUUUCUUAACUUAGUCUUUAAACUCCAUACGAGUUACACAUGAUCUGUUAACUUCUCUGUUGAGAAUCAUGAGUUUUACAUGAUCUGUUAACUUUGUCAGAAUUGGUUGUAUGAUCCUGAUAUGGUUUGUUAACUUUGUCAUCUAUGAUAGGUGAAAAUGCAAGCUUUAAAUUCACUUUAGCUUGGAGAAUCAAACAACAUACAUACAUCAAUAAAAGUCUUAUUUAAAAGAAAACAGGAAAAUUAAGUUUUAAUAAUUAAAAUGCACACAGCAUGUACAGGUAUAAGUAACAAAGACUAUAUUUUUUUGAAAUUGAAUGAAAUGACAAACAAAUUUAAUACAAUAAUUCAUAUUUAAAUUAGCACACAUGUAUUUUGUUUAAAUAACGCAGCCAGAAUUUUAUUAAAACUCUUUCUCUUCAUGUAAUAUUUGUGAUCCACUCCCAAUCUAACUUUGAGGCAUUAGAUUUGGAUUGGAUCACUGGUCAGUUUCAGAGUCGUAGUAACCUUGUUAUGCAAUUCUCCUGCUGGGCAGCACGCUGUAGUACAGUGGUUUGCAGCUGAUCUAGGUCAGAAUUUGAAUUCUGAUAAACAAGAUGUGCGUGUUUUCUUGUUGCCGAUUUAAAAGAAAAGCCUUUGCAUCAUAUAAGCAAUAACAAUAAGUGCUGGACUAUUAACUCUAUUCUCGCUACAGACAUUUCCAUCUUCAUGAUUAACAUCUGAGUUGCAUUCAAAUUCACAAAUUCAAAAGAUCCGCCUUUGGUGAAGACAAAAUUUGUGUGCUUAUGUACACAUAUAAAGAGCGUAUAUCAGAGGAUAGACUACUUCAUUGAGAGCCCUUUCAGUGUUUGUGAUUCUGAAUAAUAGAUCCACCACUCUGCUGAUUCUGUAGUGAACAGAUGUUGUAAUCAUAAAUAAGCAGUGAUAUCAGUGAGUUCCGGAUUAUUCUUUAAGAAGAAUGGAUUUCUGUGAUUCUGUUCUUAUACAAUUCAGUGAAUAGUUUGGAUAAUGUUUUAUAUUUAAAUCAUCAUCUUAUUAAGGAAGAUCAUUUUUUGGGAUUAUAUUUAUAUGACGUCAUGGUUCAUGUGACAUAAGUGUAUAAUAUUUCUCUUAAUUUUUGGUAACUGAAAUUAUUUAUCAAAUAUUAAAGACAACUUUAUUGCAA